rnacentral:lncRNA from 1 species
GAACUUUCCAACCAUGCCCGUACUGUGCUGGCCGCUGAUCUCUGCCACCAGCCUCUUCUUCAUCAGCUGAGUGGGAGACUGGAGUCAACUCCAUUAUCUUUCAUCUUCACCUUGCAUGGCCUGGCAGACAUGUGUUCAAGGAAAGGGAACAGGAUUCUGAAGCAGCACUUCAUUCAGACUCCAGCUUCAAUAUUGGCAGGUGCACCUGAGGGGGAACCUGAACCCGUGAGGUUGCAUCUUCACCUGUCUAAUGUUGGCACUGUCUGCAGCAGCUGGGUUUCUUGUGAGGAUUAAACGGAAGAAUGUUUAUGAAGUAAGUGGAAAAUAAAGUUAAAAGAAGAGAAAAGAUUGAUUUGCAACCUCUGGGCUUUACUUCCGUCAUCUGAAGUUGGGAUCUACUCAGGUUUCCCAUCCUGAAGUCCACAUUUCACUGGGAAAUAGGGUCGUGUUCUCAGCAGCGCUUGACACUAACAGAACAAAUACCCAGUGUGGAUUUAUACGUGAGCGUCAAUUUUAUGUGUGGAUUUUGGUGAAAAAAAAAUUAAGUGAUUUAAAAAUAUUACCUGGAUAUGCCAAAUGAAGGUUGAUAUAUUUUGAGUGAAAUAUCAAAUAUGUAUGUGUUUUUCAAAUAACAGCAUACUCUGCUUAAAAAUAAUUUACUUUUCUGGGUGGUCCUCUUAGGUCCCCCAACCCAGAUGCAGGGGAGGGUGUGACCUCCCCCUGCACUUCUCUCUCAGGGCUUUGGAGGAGGCUGUGGGAAGCAGCGGAGGGAGCGGACAUGGAUUCCAGCUUCUAUGUUCCGGGAUUCUUCCAGCAGGUCUUUCCCAUCUGUCUCUGAUUGCUCCCAACCCAGCCUUGUGUCUGUUGCCACAGCAAGAGGCAGCAUCCUAUGAACAUGACAGAGUGAGAAGAGAUAAAAAUAACGGCAGGGAAAGGGAGUUGAGAUGCUGGAAUUUUGCACCAUUUUAAGGUUACCAUAAAGACCUGACUUGGGAGGAAAAUAGUGCUCCUCACAUUCUUGGCACAGGAGUGGCAUCUUGCAUCCCCACAGUCCUUACUGUACAAAGAGAACCAAAGGAAGCCCUUGAGAACUCAAGAUGCCUGAAAGCUGUCCAGGAUCACUGGGCUCUGGUGGAAGGGACAGGGGCAAAUGCUGGUUGAGCACCAAUGGUGUUCAAUGCUGGGCAUGUGUAUGAUUCAUUAUAUCAUUUAAUCAUCACACACUCCCUGAGUAAGCACCGUUGCCUCCCCUGGGCAGAUGAGGAGCAAGAGGCUUAUAAGGAAUUCAUUAGGUUGCCGGAAACUCACACUUCUGUGGUGGUGGAGCUGGGAUUAGAACACAUAUGGGUCUGACCCUUGCCUACCUCAUCCCUUCCCCAUGGCUGUCUCCAGUGUUCAUGUCCUUUCUUUCCUCUUCAAAGAGGAGGAAAAAAGUCUUGCAAGUGCCUGGCACAUAGCAAGCACUCAAUGCAUGGGACUUUCAAGAUCUGUUGGAAAGAACAUGGAUGUAGCUGCCAACAUUCCUGCAUUUUCUUUAUUCUGUGCUUUUGUUCACAUUUUC